UGUAAGAACUGGUGGUGCUCCUGAACAUAAAGUCCCAGAAGGAGGGGUUCCCUCCCCCACCGUCCCCCUUGGCCGGGGCUCUCGGGAGUUUUUAACUGAGGCUAGUCCCAUUCAGCCUCCAGUGCCUUGUCAGUUACCUUGUAAGAGUCCCUACCAGUGCUGGCUUCCGGGCCUCUCCUUCAGAAGUCAACUUUAAUACUUAUGCCUCAGUUCCUGCACCUGUGAAACAGGAGACAGAAUAGCUGAUAUCUGUACAGAAGACAUGGACAGUAUCCGUCAUGUAAAACCAUGAAAAGGUAACUGGGUUGGUGCAUCGUUUGAAAUUCCCCAAGCAACAAGGAUCUGCUGAUCCUUUCUUCCUCUUCAUCUAGCCUGCUGUUGAACCCCUCUGUUUAAAAGUGAAACCAAAUCGAGAUAUCCAUUUAGCAUGAAUCCCUUGACAACCCCUGCUAAUUGGCAGUGGUGGGUGGUUACUGCUUUUAUGUUAAAACCCAGGAGGUAAGUUAAUUGCAAUAUAAUUUCAUUUAGAUAAGGUUAUGGGACUGCUUACUGGUGGGUAUUGCAACCUUAUUUGUAAGAAAAGCAUUCAGAACAGCACAGAGGAAGGGUGAAGUAAUUAUCACAGGUUACACCUUGGAACUGGGUGGCACCUGACUCUCCCUAGAACAUGAGGAAAACCUACAGAAGAGAAAAUGCAGCAUAACGUCUAUGUAAAAUCCCCUCAGCGUAGCACCAUUAGACUCUGCCUUUUAAAAACUAUGUUGAUGGCUGGCUGAAUGGCCCCCAGAAACCCUGUCGUAUAGAAGGGAUCCUAAUGAGUUUUCUACGAUUUCUAACUCAGUUUAAUAAAAUCCUUCUCCGCUCCUGCCACUAAAAUAUGAGCCAAAGGAACAAGGGUGGGGGUGGGGGUGGGGUACCUGAUUUUGGACCUUUCCAGGGCCAAUCUCAAUUUUUGUAAGACCAUUAUCAUUUGUUCAUUUCACAUGAAAUCUAAGAAACAAGCAAAGAGAAGAAAAAGAGAAAAUUAAGCCGCAACGGAGCUCUUUAGAGUCUUGGAACAAUUAAUUUUUUAAACUUCCUUGGACAGCUUGGACAGAAAGCCUAACUGAAUUCAAAGGUGCUUGUGGAAAGAUGGAGCACUGGGAGGGAACGGGAAAGGCUUGGGGGUAGAGAUGGAGGUUAGACUGCGUUAUUUCCUCUAGCCUGUGCAGUCUGAACAGACUUGUUUGCUUGUUAAUUUUCUGCAAUCUUUAUAAAAGAUAGAGAAAGAUACAGUGUGAGGACUGUGAUUUAUAAUAGCGUCAUUAUUCCAUAAUUGAAAAUACCGUGCGUUUGGUUGUCUGGUAGAAUAUGCCCAUCAGAAAUAACCUGUAGCUCGGGAGGCCAGUGGGUUGCUAUGACAACCAGACAAAAGAGUUUAAUAAUAGCUCUCCCUCAAAGCUGGAAAAUUGACAAAAAGAUGAGAUCUCUAAAUGCAAGUGUUUCUCAUAUAAAUGCAAACAAGCACCAAAUACGUUUAUUUCUUUGUUCAACAAAUAUUCAUUGAACGCUGAUGCUGUGCCUGGCUAUGUUAGGAGCUGAGGAAAAGACAGACAGGGUCCCUCCAUGAUGGAGUUCACAUUCUAGUGCAGGAAGCAGGUAAUAAAGAGUAAACAAAUCAAUAAACUGGGUAAUUCCCGCCUGCGAGAAGCUCUUGCAGGAAAGAAAGUAAUGGGGCUGUGAUCCUAAACAAGAGGUAGCCAGUGCAGAAAAUGCAGAAGAACCCGGUCACGGCACAGAUCACAGAUCGUGUCUCUGGGCUCAGAGGAGAUUUAGAAAUGAAACAGAAAAUGGAGUCUUACAAUCUUGAUUAACGUAGGGAUAGAAACACAACCACCAGCUGGCAGAUUACUCGUCAGUUGCUGGUAGAGGUUGGGGUUCUAUAUAAAAAUAAGGGUGGUUUGUGUUUUUAAAAUAAAAACGAGUAUUUGUAAUGAUAAUGAUAAAAGCUGUAUUCCAAACUUGACAGAAGCGAUUAUUCACAACAUUCUCUGGCAGCUGUUUUUGAAGUGUGCACAGACACGAGAGUGACCCUCUGUGCGUACCCUGAAUAAACUCUGAUGAACUGGAAGUCAGGACGAGAAUCCAGCAAGAAACGGAGUUUUGCAUCUAUGAUUGUGGCUAAUGGUCUGGGCUUCAACAGAGGGGGAGACCAGUACACUUACAGUCACACAGCACUGCAGGGAUGAUCCAGGCACAGAAAAUGCUAGAAUGUUGCUAAAUAGCUGAGCUUGCUCUAAGAAACUUCCAGUUUUCAUCAUUACUCUGUGAUUCGUUAGCUUUUUAUUUUUUUUUUAAAGA